rnacentral:rRNA from 1 species
AGGCGUAAAGAAAAUAAGUUUUAAAAUGCUGUUAAGUCGUUAAAUUAAGACCCGAAACUAAGUGAUCUAACCAUGAACAGGCUGAAUUUUAGGCGGAAAACGCCUUUUGGAGGGCCGAACUCGUGUAUGUGGAAAAAUACUGAGAUGAUUUGUGGUUAGGGGUGAAAGGCCAAUCAAACUUAGAGAUAGCUGGUUUUCU